AUUGUCAACGGUAAAUGUCUGACUGGAGCGAACGGAAGGAAUUUAAGGAGUUGACAAUUUUGCUACA
rnacentral:sRNA from 1 species